UCGAGGUAGUAAGGGCACAUGGCGGAUGCCUUGGCGCCAGGAGAUGAAGAAGGACGUGGCCAGCUGCGAUAAGCCUCGGGGAGCCGCUAGCAGGCAUUGAUCCGGGGAUGUCCGAAUGGGGAAACCCGGCACGCGAAGAGCGUGUCAACCCUGUCUGAACACAUAGGGCAGGGUGGUGAACGAGGGGAACUGAAACAUCUAAGUACCCUCAGGAAGAGAAAGCAAUGAAGCGAUUCCCUAAGUAGUGGCGAGCGAACGGGGAAGAGCCUAAACCUCGUUGACGUGAAAGCCUGCCGGCGUUGUCAACGGGGGGUAGAGGGACCUCUCAGGCCAUGCGGCAGCAUGGCGGGAGAGUUACAAAACCCGCGUUUAGCCGAGCUGGUCUGGAAAGGCCGGCCAUAGAAGGUAACAGCCCUGUAGGCGAAAAGCGUCGGGACUUUCCGAGAGGCACCCGAGUACCGCGGGGCACGCUAACCCCGUGGGAAUCUGGGAGGCCCACCUCCCAAGGCUAAAUACUCCCUGGCGACCGAUAGUGAACCAGUACCGUGAGGGAAAGGUGAAAAGCACCCCUGUUAGGGGAGUGAAAUAGAACCUGAAACCGUGUGCCUACAAGCAGUCCGAGGCCUAUGGAGCGAUCCAGGCUGAGGGCGUGCCUAUUGAAGAAUGAACCGGCGAGUUAUGUUCUGCAGCAAGGUUAAGGGCUUAAGGUCCGGAGCCGCAGGGAAACCGAGUGCGAAUAGCGCGUGGAGUUGCAGGGCAUAGACCCGAAGCCGGGUGAGCUAUCCAUGGCCAGGUUGAAGCGUGGGUAAAGCCACGUGGAGGACCGAACCGGUUGUUGUUGAAAAAACAUCGGAUGAGCUGUGGAUAGGGGUGAAAUGCCAAUCGAACCCGGAGAUAGCUGGUUCUCCCCGAAAUAGCUUUAGGGCUAGCCUCGGAGUAAAGGACGGCGGGGGUAGAGCACUGAUUGGGCUAGGGGCCCUACAAGGUUACUGAACCCAUUCAAACUCCGAAUACCGCCCAUCCGUAUCCGGGAGUCAGACUACGGGUGCUAAGAUUCGUGGUCAAGAGGACAAGAAUCCAGACCGCCAGAUAAGGUCCCUAAGUUCAAGCUAAGUGGGAAAGGAAGUGGGACUCCUAAAACAGCCAGGAUGUUGGCUUAGAAGCAGCCACCAUUCAAAGAGUGCGUAACAGCUCACUGGCCGAGGGGUUCUGCACCGACAAUACACGGGGCUCAAGCUUGACACCGACGCUGCGGACUCAGCCGGAAGGCUGAUUGGUAGGGGAGCGUUCUGUGUGCGUAGAAGCAAGACCGUGAGGACUUGUGGAGCGCGCGGAAGUGAGAAUGCCGGUAUGAGUAGCGAAAAGGCCGGUGAGAAUCCGGCCCGCCGAAAGCCUAAGGUUUCCUGGGCAAGGCUCGUCCGCUCAGGGUUAGUCGGGGACUAAGUCGAGGCCGAUGGCGUAGACGAUGUACAACAGGUGGACAUUCCUGUACCGCCGCGUGGAGCGAUGGGGUGACGCAGGUAGGAGGGUCCGGCCGGGUGUUGGUUGCCGGUCCAAGCGUUUAGGAAGCCCCGGGAGGCAAAUCCCCUGGGGAGUUCUGAGGCGUGACGGGGAGGGAAAUUAGAGUACCGAACCGGACCUGUCCCAUACUGCCUAGAAAAGCCUCUAGCGUUAAUCUACGUGGCGCCCGUACCGCAAACCGACACAGGUAGGCGGGGAGAGAAUCCUAAGGCGCGCGGGAUAACCCUCGUUAAGGAACUCGGCAAAAUAACCCCGUAACUUCGGGAGAAGGGGUGCCUCCUUGAAGGAGGCCGCAGUGAAACGGCCCAGGCGACUGUUUAGCAAAAACACAGGUCUCUGCAAAGCCGAAAGGCGAAGUAUAGGGGCUGACACCUGCCCAGUGCCGGAAGGUUAAGGGGAGGGGUUAGCGCAAGCGAAGCUCUGAACCGAAGCCCCGGUGAACGGCGGCCGUAACUAUAACGGUCCUAAGGUAGCGAAAUUCCUUGUCGGGUAAGUUCCGACCCGCAGGCGGCCGUAACUAUAACGGUCCUAAGGUAGCGAAAUUCCUUGUCGGGUAAGUUCCGACCCGCACGAAUGGUGUAACGAUCUGGGCGCUGUCUCAACGAGGGACCCGGUGAAAUUGAAUUACCUGUGAAGAUGCAGGUUACCUGCGACUGGACAGAGAGACCCCAUGGAGCUUUACUGUAACCUGACAUAGGAUUUUGUUGUUUCAUGUAGAGCAUAGGUGGGAGGCAGAGAACCACUCUCGUUAGGGGGUGGGGAGCCACAAGUGGAAUACCACCCUUGGAAUAACGGAGUUCUAACCUAGGGCCGUGAUCCGGUUCGGGGACGGUGUCAGGCGGGCAGUUUGACUGGGGCGGUCGCCUCCUAAAGCGUAACGGAGGCGCCCAAAGGUUCCCUCAGCGCGGUUGGAAAUCGCGCGUGGAGUGUAAAGGCAGAAGGGAGCUUGACUGCGAGAGAGACAUCUCGAGCAGAGACGAAAGUCGGGCUUAGUGACCUGGUGGUACCGAGUGGAAGGGCCAUCAAUCAACGGAUAAAAGUUACCCUGGGGAUAACAGGCUGAUCUUCCCCAAGAGUCCACAUCGACGGGAAGGUUUGGCACCUCGAUGUCGGCUCAUCGCAUCCUGGAGCAGGAGCAUGUUCCAAGGGUUCGGCUGUUCGCCGAUUAAAGCGGUACGUGAGCUGGGUUCAGAACGUCGUGAGACAGUUCGGUCCCUAUCCGUCGCAGGCGCAGGAAACUUGAGGGGAGCCAUCCACAAUACGAGAGGACCUGGAUGGACGCACCUCUGGUGUACCAGUUGUCGUGCCAACGGCAUAAGCUGGGUAGCCAAGUGCGGAGUGGAUAAGCGCUGAAAGCAUCUAAGCGCCAAGCCCACCCCAAGAUGAGGUUUCCCACGGAGUCAGUCCGGUAAGACCCCUUGAAGACUACAAGGUAGAUAGGCCGGGGGUGUAAGCGUGGCAACACGUUUAGCUGACCGGUACUAAUAGGUCGAGGCCUCGACCCU
rnacentral:rRNA from 1 species